rnacentral:rRNA from 1 species
UACGUAGGGCGCAAGCGUUGUCCGGAAUUAUUGGGCGUAAAGAGCUCGUAGGCGGCCAGUUGCGUCUGCUGUGAAAUCCCGGGGCUCAACCCCGGGCUUGCAGUGGAUACGGGCUGGCUGGAGGCAGGCAGGGGAGAACGGAAUUCCCGGUGUAGCGGUGAAAUGCGCAGAUAUCGGGAGGAACACCGGUGGCGAAGGCGGGUCUCUGGGCCGAUACUGACGCUGAGGAGCGAAAGCGUGGGGAGCGAACAGG